UUUCCGUAGGUGAACCUGCGGAAGGAUCAUUAAAAAAUAUCACUCGAUUGAGAGUGAUUUAAUAAUCAUCCUACCCUUUGUGAAUUUGUUUGUAAUGUUAAAUUUAUGUUGUCUAUCCCUUGGAAAGUUUGUUCAUUUAAACCCCAAGGGAAUAGGCUUUCAUAGACCUUUUUUUUAAAAUUAAACAUUUUGUAUUCAUUGUCUAAAAUUUAUUUUUAAGAUAAUUUAAAAACAACUUUUGACAAUGGAUCUCUUGGUUCUCGCAACGAUGAAGAACGCAGCAGAAUGCGAUAAGUAAUGUGAAUUGCAGAAUACGUGAAUCAUCAAAUCUUCGAACGCAUAUUGCACUUUUUUAGUUUACUAAAAAAGUAUGUCUGUUUGAGUAUCAGUAAAAUAUUCUCAUAAAAAAAAUUUUUUUUUUUAUGGUCAUGAGUGUUUUACAACGAUAAACAAGUUGUUUCACUUUAAAUUGAUUUUUAAAAGCCAAUUUUUUUGGUUUUUAUCUAAUAAAAUUGGAUAAAAUUUUCCCGUAAAAAGGAAUAAACUUUUCAGUUUUAAAGGGUAAAAAUUAAAAUAUUAAUUGUUGCUUAAUUUAAAAGGAAAAUUUAAUUUAAAAAUAACUUGAUCUCAAAUCAGAUAAGAGUACCCGCUGAACUUAAGCAUAUCAAUAAGCGGAGGAAAAGAAACUAACAAGGAUUCCCUUAGUAACGGCGAGUGAAGCGGGAAGAGCUCAAAUUUGAAAUCUUCAAGGUUCUACCUUGACGAAUUGUAGUUUAAAGAAGUGUUUUCUGUUAGAGGAGUAGCAAAAGUUCCUUGGAAUGGGACAUCAUAGAGGGUGAGAAUCCCGUAUUUGGUUAUUCUUUCUAGCUUUGUGAUACACUUUCAAAGAGUCGGAUUGUUUGGGAAUGCAGUCCAAAAUGGGUGGUAAAUUUCAUCUAAAGCUAAAUAUUGGCGAGAGACCGAUAGCGAACAAGUACCGUGAGGGAAAGAUGAAAAGAACUUUGAAAAGAGAGUUAAACAGUACGUGAAAUUGUCAAAAGGGAAGCGUUUGACACCAGUGUUGUUUUUCCGAAAAUCAAUUAAGAAGGGCUUGAUUUUGUGUUGUAUUGACCUUAUCAGCUUUCUUCACUCUUUUUCGAGUCUUUCUUAAUGCACUUUUCGGUUAACAAGUCAACAUCAAUUUCUUUUGUUGUAAAAGGGUAUUUGGAAGGUGGCUUUCUUUUCGGAGAAAGUGUUUAUAGCCUUAUACCUCUACAAUCGGAGAGAUUGAGGUCUGCAGCGUAGAUCCUUCGGGGCUAGAUACACUUGUGCUAAGUUAUAGCUUUUCAUAGACAACUUGUUGACUAUGUUUAGUCAUGUAGCUUACCCGCUUGUGCUAUUUUACCUACGCUUAGGAUGUUGAA
rnacentral:misc_RNA from 1 species